rnacentral:rRNA from 1 species
AUCACCUGCGUUAACCUAACACAAGAGAAUCUCAAGAAAGAUUAAAAAAAGCGGAAGGAACUCGGCAAACCUCAGCCCCGCCUGUUUACCAAAAACAUCGCCUCUUGCCUCAAUAAGAGGUCCCGCCUGCCCAGUGACCCAAUUCAACGGCCGCGGUAUCCUGACCGUGCGAAGGUAGCGUAAUCACUUGUUCUUUAAAUAAGGACUAGUAUGAACGGCACCACGAAGGCUGUACUGUCUCCCGCCUUUAAUCAGUGAACUUAAUCUCCCCGUGAAGAAGCGGGGAUAUAACCAUAAGACGAGAAGACCCCAUGGAGCUUAAAACAAACGGCACCUGCUAACAACUAAGUUAAGCACCUUGACCGUACGUUUUCGGUUGGGGCGACCGCGGAGAACAACCCACCCUCCAUGCUGAAAGAUAACAAUCUUAGCCAAAACAACCCAUUAAAGCACCAGAAUCCUGACAUUCAUUGACCCAAGCUAUUUGAUCAACGAACCAAGUUACCCUGGGGAUAACAGCGCAAUCCACUUCAAGAGCCCCUAUCGACAAGUGGGUUUACGACCUCGAUGUUGGAUCAGGGUCCCCAAGCGG